UACGAAGGGGGCUAGCGUUGCUCGGAAUCACUGGGCGUAAAGGGUGCGUAGGCGGGUCUUUAAGCCAGGGGUGAAAUCCUGGAGCUCAACUCCAGAACUGCCUUUGAUACUGAGGAUCUUGAGUCCGGGAGAGGUGAGUGGAACUGCGAGUGUAGAGGUGAAAUUCGUAGAUAUUCGCAAGAACACCAGUGGCGAAGGCGGCUCACUGGCCCGGUACUGACGCUGAGGCACGAAAGCGUGGGGAGCAAACAGG
rnacentral:rRNA from 1 species